rnacentral:lncRNA from 1 species
GAAAACAUGAAAAAAAAUUAAAAACUAAAAAUGAAAGAAAGUAAAUAAAGUAAUAAAUUGAAAAUGUUUAAAAAAUUUCCUAAGUCACCCCCACACUUUAUUCAACACGUUGUCUCUAAUGUGCAAUUAAAAAUAUAAAGGAUGGGACUACUCCUCCUUUAAGUUUUGGUCACAAUGGUAGUGCCGUCACAGAUUUCGAGUUUCCUACAAAGGAAAAUCAACAAACGAAUAUAGGAAAUACUAAAUCCUAACUAAUUAAAAAUUAAACCAAAAAUUAAAAAUAAUUCCAAAUAAAAAAAAGUAAAAGGUCCCAAAAAUAAAAAUAAAAACUUGUCCAGAAUUAGUCGAACUUAGGUUCUGACUCUUCAUCAGCAUUGCUUGGUUUGCCUUCCGACUCCUCCCCCG